GGACAAGACUGACGCUCAGGUGCGAAAGCGUGGGGAGCUAAACAGGAUUAGAUACCCUGGUAGUCCACGCUGUAAACGAUGUCGAUUUGGAGGUUGUUCCCUUGAGGAGUGGCUUCCGGAGCUAACGCGUUAAAUCGACCGCCUGGGGAGUACGGCCGCAAGGUUAAAACUCAAAUGAAUUGACGGGGGCCCGCACAAGCGGUGGAGCAUGUGGUUUAAUUCGAUGCAACGCGAAGAACCUUACCUACUCUUGACAUCCAGAGAAUUUAGCAGAGAUGCUUUAGUGCCUUCGGGAACUCUGAGACAGGUGCUGCAUGGCUGUCGUCAGCUCGUGUUGUGAAAUGUUGGGUUAAGUCCCGCAACGAGCGCAACCCUUAUCCUUUGUUGCCAGCACGUUAUGGUGGGAACUCAAAGGAGACUGCCGGUGAUAAACCGGAGGAAGGUGGGGAUGACGUCAAGUCAUCAUGGCCCUUACGAGUAGGGCUACACACGUGCUACAAUGGCGUAUACAAAGAGAAGCGACCUCGCGAGAGCAAGCGGAA
rnacentral:rRNA from 1 species